AACCCCCCGUUAUCCCCUAUUACCCUAUUACCCUAUUACUAUAUCCCCCAUAGGCAGCGCUGUAACCCCGUUACCCCCUAUUACCCUAUUACCCCCUAUAUCCCCAUAGGCAGUGCUGUAACCCCCGUUAUCCCUAUUAUCCCCUAUUACCCUAUUACUCUCUCCCCCAUAGGCAGCGCUGUGCCAUACAGACUCGAAGCCGUCGGGGAAGCCCGCGUGCUGCGUGGCCGCGGUUCGGGCGCGCUCGGCCGACGAGCAGCCGCACGUCGGGAACUAUCGGCUGCUGAAAAACCAUCGGCAAAGGAACUUCGCCAAGGUCAAACUGGCACGACACGUCCUGACCGGGAAGGAGGUUGCAGUGAAGAUCAUUGACAAGACUCAGUCUCAACUCCUCCACCUACAGAAGCUUGUUCCGGGAGGUGCGGAUAAUGAAGGUGCUGAACCACCCCAACAUAGUGAAGCUCUUUGAGGUGAUCGAGACGGAGAAGACCCUUUACGGUCAUGGGUACGCCAGUGGGG